rnacentral:rRNA from 1 species
AGAGUUUGAUCAUGGCUCAGAUUGAACGCUGGCGGCAGGCCUAACACAUGCAAGUCGAACGGUAACAGGAAGCAGCUUGCUGCUUCGCUGACGAGUGGCGGACGGGUGAGUAAUGUCUGGGAAACUGCCUGAUGGGGGGGGAUAACUACUGGAAACGGUAGCUAAUACCGCAUAAUGUCGCAAGACCAAAGAGGGGGACCUUCGGGCCUCUUGCCAUCGGAUGUGCCCAGAUGGGAUUAGCUUGUUGGUGGGGUAACGGCUCACCAAGGCGACGAUCCCUAGCUGGUCUGAGAGGAUGACCAGCCACACUGGAACUGAGACACGGUCCAGACUCCUACGGGAGGCAGCAGUGGGGAAUAUUGCACAAUGGGCGCAAGCCUGAUGCAGCCAUGCCGCGUGUAUGAAGAAGGCCUUCGGGUUGUAAAGUACUUUCAGCGGGGAGGAAGGGAGUAAAGUUAAUACCUUUGCUCAUUGACGUUACCCGCAGAAGAAGCACCGGCUAACUCCGUGCCAGCAGCCGCGGUAAUACGGAGGGUGCAAGCGUUAAUCGGAAUUACUGGGCGUAAAGCGCACGCAGGCGGUUUGUUAAGUCAGAUGUGAAAUCCCCGGGCUCAACCUGGGAACUGCAUCUGAUACUGGCAAGCUUGAGUCUCGUAGAGGGGGGUAGAAUUCCAGGUGUAGCGGUGAAAUGCGUAGAGAUCUGGAGGAAUACCGGUGGCGAAGGCGGCCCCCUGGACGAAGACUGACGCUCAGGUGCGAAAGCGUGGGGAGCAAACAGGAUUAGAUACCCUGGUAGUCCACGCCGUAAACGAUGUCGACUUGGAGGUUGUGCCCUUGAGGCGUGGCUUCCGGAGCUAACGCGUUAAGUCGACCGCCUGGGGAGUACGGCCGCAAGGUUAAAACUCAAAUGAAUUGACGGGGGCCCGCACAAGCGGUGGAGCAUGUGGUUUAAUUCGAUGCAACGCGAAGAACCUUACCUGGUCUUGACAUCCACGGAACUUUCCAGAGAUGAGAAUGUGCCUUCGGGAACCGUGAGACAGGUGCUGCAUGGCUGUCGUCAGCUCGUGUUGUGAAAUGUUGGGUUAAGUCCCGCAACGAGCGCAACCCUUAUCCUUUGUUGCCAGCGGUCCGGCCGGGAACUCAAAGGAGACUGCCAGUGAUAAACUGGAGGAAGGUGGGGAUGACGUCAAGUCAUCAUGGCCCUUACGACCAGGGCUACACACGUGCUACAAUGGCGCAUACAAAGAGAAGCGACCUCGCGAGAGCAAGCGGACCUCAUAAAGUGCGUCGUAGUCCGGAUUGGAGUCUGCAACUCGACUCCAUGAAGUCGGAAUCGCUAGUAAUCGUGGAUCAGAAUGCCACGGUGAAUACGUUCCCGGGCCUUGUACACACCGCCCGUCACACCAUGGGAGUGGGUUGCAAAAGAAGUAGGUAGCUUAACCUUCGGGAGGGCGCUUACCACUUUGUGAUUCAUGACUGGGGUGAAGUCGUAACAAGGUAACCGUAGGGGAACCUGCGGUUGGAUCACCU